UACGUAGGGGGCGAGCGUUGUCCGGAAUGACUGGGCGUAAAGGGUACGUAGGCGGCUAGGUAAGUCAGAUGUGAAAGGCAUGGGCUCAACCCAUGUUAGCAUUUGAAACUGCUUAGCUUGAGUCAAGGAGAGGAAAGUGGAAUUCCUGGUGUAGCGGUGAAAUGCGUAGAUAUCAGGAGGAAUACCAGUGGCGAAGGCGACUUUCUGGACUUAGACUGACGCUGAGGUACGAAAGCGUGGGGAGCAAACAGG
rnacentral:rRNA from 1 species